GGGGGGAAACCCGCCGUGAAAAAAACCUUGAAAAGGGGGCAGCAAUUGUUAUUCAACUGAAAGCUAGCAGUGAGGCAGAUCGAGUGCAAAAAUGGGUAUGAACUCAGUGAAAUGGGGGUAUGUCCGUAUCAUCACCGGCACCAUUUUUGGUGGUAUCCUUGGCUUCUACGUUAUGCACCGCGUCGAGCUCAGCUACAAGGAGAAGAUGAAGGAGAGAUUGAGGCAGUAUGAACUUGAAUUGAAGAAUAGGGAGAAGCUAGAGGAGCUUGAAGAUUCCCUCUAGCUCUUUCUUUUUGCAGCUUUGCUUCGUAGGAAGGAU